rnacentral:rRNA from 1 species
UUUGUCGCGUUGUUCGUGAAAACUCACAGCUUAACUGUGGGCGUGCGGGCGAUACGGGCAGACUAGAGUACUGCAGGGGAGACUGGAAUUCCUGGUGUAGCGGUGGAAUGCGCAGAUAUCAGGAGGAACACCGGUGGCGAAGGCGGGUCUCUGGGCAGUAACUGACGCUGAGGAGCGAAAGCGUGGGGAGCGAACAGGAUUAGAUACCCUGGUAGUCCACGCCGUAAACGGUGGGUACUAGGUGUGGGUUUCCUUCCUUGGGAUCCGUGCCGUAGCUAACGCAUUAAGUACCCCGCCUGGGGAGUACGGCCGCAAGGCUAAAACUCAAAGAAAUUGACGGGGGCCCGCACAAGCGGCGGAGCAUGUGGAUUAAUUCGAUGCAACGCGAAGAACCUUACCUGGGUUUGACAUGCACAGGACGCCAGUAGAGAUAUUGGUUCCCUUGUGGCCUGUGUGCAGGUGGUGCAUGGCUGUCGUCAGCUCGUGUCGUGAGAUGUUGGGUUAAGUCCCGCAACGAGCGCAACCCUUGUCUCAUGUUGCCAGCACGUAAUGGUGGGGACUCGUGAGAGACUGCCGGGGUCAACUCGGAGGAAGGUGGGGAUGACGUCAAGUCAUCAUGCCCCUUAUGUCCAGGGCUUCACACAUGCUACAAUGGCCGGUACAAAGGGCUGCGAUGCCGUGAGGUGGAGCGAAUCCUUUCAAAGCCGGUCUCAGUUCGGAUCGGGGUCUGCAACUCGACCCCGUGAAGUCGGAGUCGCUAGUAAUCGCAGAUCAGCAACGCUGCGGUGAAUACGUUCCCGGGCCUUGUACACACCGCCCGUCACGUCAUGAAAGUCGGUAACACCCGAAGCCGGUGGCCUAACCCCUUGUGGGAGGGAGCCGUCGAAGGUGGGAUCGGCGA